GAUGAACGCUGGCGGCGUGCCUAAUACAUGCAAGUCGAGCGAACAGACGAGGAGCUUGCUCCUCUGACGUUAGCGGCGGACGGGUGAGUAACACGUGGAUAACCUACCUAUAAGACUGGGAUAACUUCGGGAAACCGGAGCUAAUACCGGAUAAUAUAUUGCACCUCAUGGUUCAAUAGUGAAAGACGGUUUUGCUGUCACUUAUAGAUGGAUCCGCGCCGCAUUAGCUAGUUGGUAAGGUAACGGCUUACCAAGGCAACGAUGCGUAGCCGACCUGAGAGGGUGAUCGGCCACACUGGAACUGAGACACGGUCCAGACUCCUACGGGAGGCAGCAGUAGGGAAUCUUCCGCAAUGGGCGAAAGCUUGACGGAGCAACGCCGCGUGAGUGAUGAAGGUCUUCGGAUCGUAAAACUCUGUUAUUAGGGAAGAACAAGUGUGUAAGUAACUAUGCACGUCUUGACGGUACCUAAUCAGAAAGCCACGGCUAACUACGUG
rnacentral:rRNA from 1 species